rnacentral:pre_miRNA from 1 species
CGUGCUCGGUCGCUACGUACCGACCGAGUUGUGUGCGUGCUCGGUCGCUAAGUAGCGACCGAGCUUCGGGGAGAGCUUGGUCGCUACGUCGUGACCGAGCCGUGUACGUUCUCGGUCGCUACGUAGCGACCGAGCCUCG